AUAGUGGACCUAGAACUCCCAGAGGCCCUGUGUCCUCCAUUCCCCCACACCUGGCUGGCAGGAAGCUCCGGCAGACCACGUGCAUGUGCCUGCACCUGCUUUAUGGGAGAAUUGAGCCCUGGUGACAUUUGUUUCCCCCGGGUCACCCUGGCGGAGUAGCCCUUGGGCACCCCUCACCUCGAGUUGGAGGUCUCGGCUCCUCAUGACCGCCAUGUUCUUCUCCUCACUGAGCUGUGCGUAGCGCAUGGCUAAGUUGUAGUUGUCGUCCUUCACCUUGACCAGCUCGUCAUUGUAGCUGUCCCGCUCUUCCUUCAUCUUGUAGUACCGCUCCUGGAAGGUUAGCAGCUCCACGCGCGUCAGCGUCAUCUGCUUCUUCUCAUCCUCCAGCUGCCGCAACCUGGCCAGCAGCUCGCAGCGUUGCAGGUCCUUGGCCUUCAUCUGCUGCUGCAGCUUGAUGACCUCGUUCAUCAGGAAGACGGACAGAAGAAAUAAAUUUGAUGGUAUGUCAACCCCGAUUGUUUGGUGAAGCCGCCUGCAGUACUGUUUCGAGAAACAUUCCAAAGUUACAUCCAAGCUCAGUGGGAAAGCAUGCUGAUUACUGAUGUCUGCCAUGGAUGCCAGAGAGUCGCAGCUGAUGAGCCACUUACCACCAGCCACGCUGGGGGACAGUGAUUAUCAAACCUUCUAAACUGAUCCAUAGAAAGAAAAACAUUUAACAUUGUGGUCUAGUGACCAUAGACAAAGAUAACUCUACAAGUACAUGUGUAUACACAUGUACAUAAUGUAAAAUUAAAACAAGCUUCACAAACCAUAUUUAUUACCUUUACUGAAUAUGAUAAACCCCCCCUCCAGAAGUCAGGCUAGAAAAGCUUGUGGAACCCUUCUCGGAAUAUUUUUAAACAGAUAAAGUACAUCAGAUUACAAAAGAAACCAAUUAUAAUAAAAUCCAGUUAUCAAAUAUUAAAUAAA
ensembl:lncRNA CARD11-AS1 CARD11 antisense RNA 1